rnacentral:rRNA from 1 species
AUUGAACGCUGGCGGCAGGCCUAACACAUGCAAGUCGAACGGUAACAGGAAGCAGCUUGCUGCUUCGCUGACGAGUGGCGGACGGGUGAGUAAUGUCUGGGAAGCUGCCUGAUGGAGGGGGAUAACUACUGGAAACGGUAGCUAAUACCGCAUAAUGUCGCAAGACCAAAGAGGGGGACCUUCGGGCCUCUUGCCAUCGGAUGUGCCCAGAUGGGAUUAGCUUGUUGGUGGGGUAACGGCUCACCAAGGCGACGAUCCCUAGCUGGUCUGAGAGGAUGACCAGCCACACUGGAACUGAGACACGGUCCAGACUCCUACGGGAGGCAGCAGUGGGGAAUAUUGCACAAUGGGCGCAAGCCUGAUGCAGCCAUGCCGCGUGUAUGAAGAAGGCCUUCGGGUUGUAAAGUACUUUAAGCGGGGAGGAAGGGAGUAAAGUUAAUACCUUUGCUCAUUGACGUUACCCGCAGAAGAAGCACCGGCUAACUCCGUG